rnacentral:tRNA from 1 species
UAAUACUGGUAGGAUUUGAACCUACGCACAACGACCAUGUCUCCUGCUCUACCGAACUGAGCUACACGUAUU